AUGUGGAAGAUUGGUAAUGGUAAACAAGUGAAGUUUUGGGAGGAUAAUUGGUUUGGGCACUGCUGCCUUGCUACUCAAUACUGGGAUUUAUACAUGAUUAUUCAUGAACAAAAUAAAUCUGUGGCUGACGUUUGGGAUUGAGUAAGCCUGAAGCUUACUUCGCAGAACUGUGAAUCAACAUCUCAUGUCACAGUGGUAUGA
rnacentral:rRNA from 1 species